UACAGAGGGGGCAAGCGUUAUUCGGAAUUAUUGGGCGUAAAGGGCGCGUAGGCGGCCUGGCAAGUGGAAGGUGAAAUCCCUCGGCUUAACCGAGGAACUGCCCUCCAAACUGCUUGGCUUGAGUCCGGGAGAGGUGAGUGGAAUUCCCAGUGUAGCGGUGAAAUGCGUAGAUAUUGGGAGGAACACCAGUGGCGAAGGCGGCUCACUGGACCGGAACUGACGCUGAGGCGCGAAAGCGUGGGGAGCGAUCCGG
rnacentral:rRNA from 1 species